CUGGGGGGAGGGGGAUUCUGAGGAGUGAAACCACUUCCUGUGUAGCUAGUUCCUGUGUUGACAGAAAGAGCAGAAGAGGAGGUGGGGUGGAGGGAGCAGAGCCAGGGAUUAGGGGGCUACUGAGGCUCUGGAGAUGAGACCGCCAGGAGUCCUUCCCCACCAUGAGCCCCCUCCACUCCUGCAGCUGGAGGAGUUUUUCCCAGUCUCGGUGCUGCCCUGGGGCGAGAGAGACUGAACAAGCUGUUUGGGUGGGAAAAGAGAAUGGAGGAAGUUGACAGGGAUGGGCGGGGCCCGUGGGGGGGCUGACCAGGAACCCAGCUUCCUGCUCAGUACCCAGGCAUCCAGCCCCCAGCUCACCCCCACCCCUUCCAGCCCCCACUCCCCUCAGGAACCCAAGGUUCCAGCCCUCCUCCCAAAUCCCAGCCACCCCUCCCCCACCAGUUUCUCCCCUCUAGGGGAUGGAGGCUGAGAGACCCCAGGAAGAAGAGGAUGGUGAGCAGGGCCCCCCUCAGGAUGAGGAAGGCUGGCCCCCUCCAAACUCCACCACUCGGCCUUGGCGAUCUGCUCCUCCGUCCCCUCCUCCUCCAGGGACCCGCCACACAGGUACCCCUACCCACCCAGGGAGAGCCCCGA
rnacentral:lncRNA from 1 species